UCAUGUGCGAGGCCCUUCAGUGUGUGUGUUCGUCUCUGUGCUGUCCCUGCGUCCGCUGCUAAUUUCACGUGAGCGAUAGACCCAUCGAGGAGAGAGACGGUGACUGCGGGAAAAACACCUUGUACGGGUAAAACGUCUCGUCCACCCAGAGGUCGAGAAAGAAACUAGAAUCCAGGAACGUCACCGAGGGAUUUACGGAGCACCCCGAGACGCGGGGGCUCGCAGGUUGUACCGCUCACACUGUCCCUUCCGUUUACCACCGAACAAGAGACCCUGUUUGUUAAGAGUUAAUUUUUCAGGAACGGCAGAGUUAUGGUUCCGCAGGCGGAAGUUGCGCGAAGCUAACAGGCAAAACCGAAAACGAGGCGAGAUCGAGAGUUGAGCAGAGGAGGCAUCACGGGCCUGAGGCGGCGGCCAGCCGCUACCGGAGACGAGCCGAUAUCAGUUCCCGGGAAAGUCGAGAAUUGCCUGCCGAAUUCGGGCCUCGCGCGCUAUCGACGUCAGAAGCGCAGAACGAUAGAAUAAUUAGCGCACCGCCAGGAUCUAACCGCCUGAUAACAGCCAAUGCGGAAGCGGCAGCGGCGAUAAGUGAGGCGCGACACCGGGAGCCUCCCGCAGGAUCGAGGAUCGAUGCUCACUUGUGCUGUAAGCGUGCCCCGAGCCGGAAACUGGUGCCGAAGACUCUACGGCCAACUCCCGGAGAAGACGCAGAGAGAGGUUCCGUGCCGCGCCCAAGGGUGAGAAGAGCGUCACGAACGAAUUGUAAAGUCACCGAUUUCGCGAUCGAAGGCGGGUGGCGUCGCGACUGACAGAAUUAAGUGGAGUUCGCUCCAUAACUGUCUCGUAUUCGCGUGCGAUGUUGUAACGCCGUUAACGCAUUCGUUGUCGCAGCCGCGACGUCGCUCACCCGAUCCCGCCGCAUUAACGCAGUUUCUUUAGUUCCGGUAUUCGCGCCUGUAUCGCCACAGCCAAGCCGUCGUUGUAUCGUAAGUUCGUGUAAGUGUGCGUGUGUGAGUCUUGUCUGAUUUUGAGGGUUGAGCGUAGCUUGGUCACGGUAGUAGCGGUGAGAGACAUCACGAGACCCUUCGACUAGCGUGUGCACCUUCUCCCGUGGCGAUCACCUUGCCAAAGAGAUUAAACGUUACGCUGGUGACUGUCCCGCGAUGCCGUGCGAUUACUGAGUCGCUUCGAGUAACAUUCCGCGAAUUUGUGCCGCAUUCCGCACGCGGAUGGACCGCGUGCGAGGUCUUGUAGUCUACUAACCCGACAAUUCGAAAUACACGUUGUUAUUUUCUCUUUGUUAAUUCUCGUCUCAUUAUUCUGCGAUUCUCCUUCGCUCUCUCUAUCACCACCUGCCCGCACCAAUACCCCCCCUCCGCCUCUACUGACUUAGCGGAAAGCUGCCGGACGGUUGUAUCGUCCCCGCUUAUGGCAAUUAGCGCUAGCCUAACCUUGAAAAAUUAGUAAACCGAAAGAGAGGCACGCUUUCUCGUGCCUGGCGCCCAAUUCUGUACGCUAAGAAUUAUUUGGAAGAAAUAAAGAUCGCGGUCCGGAGAUAAGCCGUGAGCGGGCGACUCAGACUUGUGUUAGGUGCAUAAAAACCACCGUUACAGUAUACACGCACUGUCGAAAGCAAGAUAAAUUAAUAGAAAGUUAUGAGUUAGUACGCGUAUCAAGUGCUCGGUGUAAACUAGGCCUAUAUAGCGCUAUAGUCGAGAUUGUGAAGUUAGCUCGAGUUUUUAUUCGAGAUUUUCAUCAGAGUUCCUUUUGUCCACGAUUCGAGUUUUAAUAACUUUUUCUCGGAUCGAAAACUCGGACCGAUUUCUAGCAUCGUGUACACAAGGCUUAAGACAAGGGAGUGAAACCUACAUAUGAAAAGUGGAAACAGAUAUGUGCAAGCGAAAACGGGGAUAAAUGCAUCCGCGCGCAUGACGUCAUGCAGUGGUGGGACUAUUUCCACUACGGCAUAAUGCUAUUUUUUAAUCAUCAUUUUGAGUGUAGCAAAGUGUAAAAAGCAUGUGAUUAGGAUUGUUAAUGCAAUUCUUCAUUUGCAAUACAUAUUUUAUACAAUUAAGAUUUUGAUUAUCCAAGUUUUUUGUUUCCUAUCCAAACGAACAAACUUUAGACUGAGUUUCUGUAGGAAGCCAAAUCAUUCAAGAUAAAAUUGUAUUACUGAAGCCGGACCGAACAGUACAGUGCGCGUCAAUAAGUCGCUGGGUCAUAGUAGGUAGCUUGAUUUACCGACACUGAGUCGAUAACAAUGUACGCCCGCGCGUGUGCGUUUAUUUAGAAGGGACAUAAAUAAUAAAUAUUUGGCACAAAGAAUAUAUGUUACUGAUUCUCUUAGUUAUCCAUGAGACAUAAGAGAACUAAAGAACAACUGGUUGCACAUGCCAAGAACUCGGAAAAUUUGAAGCAUAAAUCUCAAUAUUUUGUACGUUUAAACGAUUCGGUAGAAAGGCGAUUACAGCAAGUGAUUGCACGGGAAGGAUACUGGACCGACUAUUAGCUGGUGCCAGUAUUAUUUCAAACGGUUCUUUUCAGAACCACCAAAUUAUUUAACGGUGUAACAUUUAUCAAAAAUGCAAAAUUUAAUUAAAAAAAAAUAUAUUAAAAAACCAAUAUAUUUUUAAUUUUAAUAAAUAACUUAUUCUUUUAUCUUUUCUAUCUUUUCAUACACGUUUAUCUUUGUUGUUAUGUAUAUCUUUGUCUGUGCAAAAAUAACAUAAUACUGAAUCAAAUUUAUACGGAUAGAUCUACAAGCGGUGUAAACAUAACGUAACAGAAAUUAUUCUACGUGCAUUUCGGCGUUAACAAUUUUGCGUAUGUAAUUAUAUGAAUACAUUAUUGUUUAUACGCAAUAGAAAAAAACAUAAUUACAUUAAACUAAAUAAAUUAAUAUUUAAAAUUGAAAACAAAGUAUCAAUGUCGUGUGUUAAAUUUUAAUUUUACUAUUUAUUUUAUUAUACAGCUCAACAUGUAGACAUUUUAACAUAAAAAAUAAAAAUAUUUAACCUAAAUUAGACUAAGAAGAAAGAAGAGGAUAACUAAGAGAAUCAGUAACGUAUAUUCUCCGUGCCAAAUAUUUAUUAUUUAUAUCUCUUUCGAAUAAAACGCGCACGCGCGUUUAUCGUUAUCAACUCAGUGUCGAUAAGUCAAGCUAUCUACUAUGACCCAGCGAAUUAUUGACGCGCACUGUACACCCCAUGGUAGAAAGACAAGGGUAUGCUCUUCCGGGGUUCGAGCCUUAAGACUUCUCUGCGCAUCACGUGAUGUAUCAAGCUGACGUCACAUUCGCGCGAAAAUUGAACGAACGCUUCGACUCUAUAAGUCGAUAACAUGUGGCUGUCCGCUAUCGAAAGUGUGAUCAUGCGUGAUACAUAUGACAUAUGACAUGUGUUAUUGUCGAAAAAUCAAGGAGCAGGUACGAAUAACGUUGUAGAGUUACUGUCGGAAAGCAUUAAUACUUUUCGGAAAAAAUGUAUUGUGCAAUAAAAGGUUGCACUAAUUCAUACAGGAAAACUAAAAAAGAAGGUUUAGUGAUUAAAUAUUUUUCAUUUCCGAAAAAUGCACCGUUUGCUGAGGAGUGGCGUAAAGUAUGCAGAGAUGGAAUAAAUGUUACGACCGGUAAGAUGACAUUGAUUUACAUUAACACAUUAAAAAUCCAAGGAGAACAGAAAAGUAAAUAAUGUCAAUUUGAAUAAUGUAAAAUUAAUUAAACUUAAUUUUUCAUCAUGAUUUGACCAAAAAAUAACAAAUUUGAUCUAAUUGACAUUAUUUUUAUUUUUCUAUGUUUUUUUUGGGAAAUUAAUUGCUCAAUCGUUCAGAUUAAUUUAUGAAAUAUAAGUAUUUGUUUACUUAACAGUUUAUAUGUAACAUAAUAUUUCAAAAUGUAGAAUUUAUAGCGUUUUAAUAUUUUUAGUACAAUAAGUUGUAUCAUAAGAAAUAUGCAUAAAAGAAAAAAGAAAAAAAAA